rnacentral:rRNA from 1 species
GAAGAGAUCAAUUGGGAAGAAGAAAUUCAGUUUGAUCCAGGUAAAAGGAGAAGCAUAGACGAGUACCAUCCCAAUCAGAGAGAUAUGGUAAGAAGGAAGUAUUUGGCCAAUGGCCCUUGUCAACCUCGUACUGCUGAUUUUGAAGUGACAGAAAUAUGUGGUAAAGAUAGAAGGUUCGUUCGGGAAUGGUUUGAUGAGUUUGGGAGCUGGACCGCGCAAGAAGAAAGAAGCCGGUUAUGAUGCAUUUGUUGCAAAUGGUUGGUCAAGUUGGAAUAAAAAAUAUAGAUUAAAGGAGCAUGUAGGAGACAUCAAUAGUGCUCACAACCAAGCAAAAAGAGGUUGUGAUGCUUUGCUGAAACAAAAGCAACACAUCUAUGUUGCUCUAAACAACCAAAGUAAUGUUGAGAGGAAUGCUUAUUAUACUCGACUAAAUGCCUCAAUUGAUGUUACUAGAGUGUUACUGAAGUAA